rnacentral:lncRNA from 1 species
AGUGCUCACUCCAGGCCACAGACUCCGACCGGAACUGACAGCGCGGCCUCCAGGAUUGAAGCCAUCCCUGGCUUGAAGUAGCCUAAGGAGAUUUGCUAGUUUGAGUCCUGGGAGAUGAGAUGGGGAAGAUGGGCCCAAGCUGCAACAUGAAGGUCCAUGAUGAACAGUUGGCAUCUCCUACAGUGCCUGCCACUUGCAAAGCUGCAGAUCCCUGAGGCCAAGGCUGAUGAAAGAUGUGGGUAGCCGAUUCUGUCCUGUGACCUGGAGGCUCUGAAUUUGUGAUUGAAGAGAUCCUGCACAGUCCUCUCCCCUGUCAUAUCAGGCAUCUGCAAGGCAUUCUAAGGACCUCUAGGAGCACACAGUUCAAUCCAGCAACCUCUACUAAGGGUCACAAAUGCCUAUGUCCAAGUCUAUGCUGGCCCUGUCAAAGUCCCGUCUCUGCUCUGCCCCCAGGGUCUUACGGGCUACAAAUGGGACAACUUUUUAAAUACUCACACAUGUUGUGAUCAUUUGUAAGUCCAAGUCACAAAAACAGCAGAAGUAGAAAGUUUUACCUUAGAG